rnacentral:rRNA from 1 species
GAGUCAACAUAGCAAUAUGUGGCAUACGGCUCAGUAACACGUAGUCAACAUGCCCAGGGGACGUGGAUAACCUCGGGAAACUGAGGAUAAACCGCGAUAGGUCAUCACUUCUGGAAUGGGUAAUGACUUAAAUCUAUAUGGCCCCUGGAUUGGACUGCGGCCGAUCAGGCUGUUGGCGAGGUAAUGGCCCACCAAACCUGUAACCGGUACGGGCUCUGAGAGGAGGAGCCCGGAGAUGGGCACUGAGACAAGGGCCCAGGCCCUAUGGGGCGCAGCAGGCGCGAAACCUCUGCAAUAGGCGAAAGCUUGACAGGGUUACUCUGAGUGAUUUCCGUUAAGGAGAUCUUUUGGCACCUCUAAAAAUGGUGCAGAAUAAGGGGUGGGCAAGUCUGGUGUCAGCCGCCGCGGUAAUACCAGCACCCCGAGUGGUCGGGACGUUUAUUGGGCCUAAAGCAUCCGUAGCCGGUUCUACAAGUCUUCCGUUAAAUCCACCUGCUUAACAGAUGGGCUGCGGAAGAUACUAUAGAGCUAGGAGGCGGGAGAGGCAAGCGGUACUCGAUGGGUAGGGGUAAAAUCCGUUGAUCCAUUGAAGACCACCAGUGGCGAAGGCGGCUUGCCAGAACGCGCUCGACGGUGAGGGAUGAAAGCUGGGGGAGCAAACCGGAUUAGAUACCCGGGUAGUCCCAGCUGUAAACGAUGCAGACUCGGUGAUGAGUUGGCUUAUUGCUAACUCAGUGCCGCAGGGAAGCCGUUAAGUUUGCCGCCUGGGGAGUACGGUCGCAAGACUGAA